GGUGCUUGGGCCGGGAGGUUAGGCAAUGGUCUGCAAAACCAUGUAGAGCGGUUCGAUUCCGCUAGGCACCUCAA
rnacentral:tRNA from 4 species